rnacentral:rRNA from 1 species
GACGAACGCUGGCGGCGUGCUUAACACAUGCAAGUCGAACGAUGAAACCUAGCUUGCUAGGUCGAUUAGUGGCGAACGGGUGAGUAACACGUGACUAACCUGCCCCUUUCUCUGGGAUAACGCUCCGAAAGGAGUGCUAAUACCGGAUACUCACAUCGAGGCACAUGCCUUGAUGUGGAAAGUUUUUCGGAAAGGGAUGGAGUCGCGGCCUAUCAGCUUGUUGGUGAGGUAACGGCUCACCAAGGCGACGACGGGUAGCCGGCCUGAGAGGGAGGCCGGCCACACUGGGACUGAGACACGGCCCAGACUCCUACGGGAGGCAGCAGUGGGGAAUAUUGCACAAUGGGCGCAAGCCUGAUGCAGCGACGCCGCGUGAGGGAUGAAGGUCUUCGGAUUGUAAACCUCUUUCAGUAGGGACGAAGCGAAAGUGACGGUACCUAAAGAAGAAGCACCGGCUAACUACGUGCCAGCAGCCGCGGUAA